AUCAAAGCCCCUGCCCCCUUCCAUCUUUAUAUAUCACAUGACGGCAGUCUUCGAAGGUCCUUCGAUCGUUCCCUCGACAAAAGCCGUCGGCGACUGAUCUGCAGCGGAGCGACAGAGGGAGAGAGGGAGCCGAGGUUUUUCCAACAUGAGGGCUAAGUGGAAGAAGAAGAGAAUGAGGAGGCUGAAGAGGAAACGCAGAAAGAUGAGGCAGAGAUCGAAGUAGACGAGCUUUGCCUGAUACAGAUUGAGUUCUUCGCUCCGGCCUGCAUUUGUCUCGACAAUCUGUUGUAGUUACUGCAUUAGGUUGUUAAGAACAUGAUUCUGCUGAGAAGUGAAGUCUUCGUCUGUACUGUGUGUCAUUUUAGAUUCAGUAAUCGAGACUGUCAAUCUUACAUGGUGGUCACCAGAGAUUUUGUUCUCAUUUUCAAUGAUAUAUGCUCGACUCUAUGCUGCACCUUACUGAUUCUGUAUCAGAUGAAUUACUGUGUUGUAGUAUUAUCAA